GUUCUUGGCGUCGUUAGUGGCACUACGUUCCACUUUUUAUUCUUUAAAUACCUUGUUCUACUGCUAUCUUAUUUCUGAUCCAGAAGCUAAAUCGCAGAAUUAUUUAUAAAGAAACAAAGCCGCAAGAGAUAAACAAACACAGUGCAGUAGACUCGAUGCAACGAAUGAAUCCGCAAAAUUGUGUUUGUCCCAUUUUCUUUUCUCCCAUUAGCUCUUCCCGCUCAUUUUUUUAAAUUUCCAGAAAAAGGGGUUAGGGUACUUUAAAACAAGGGGGAGGGUUAGGAAUGAAUCCAAGAUGGCCGCCGCUUCUUUGGGAAAAAUAAAAAAUUUCUCCCUCCUCCUCCGCUCCCGGCUCCCGCCAUACCUCUCUCAGUCUCAGUACUUAGUAGGCAUUUGUACGGCGGCCGUGUCACACGGUUUUGGAAACUCCGGAUAUGCUCUGAGUGGUAGCCACGUGAAGCAAAUGUUAAACUCGAUUACCCUGCCCAUAUUUAGAAUUGACAGUCUCUGUGCAACUAUCUUCACAUAGUUGCAAAGCCCAAUGUUUUCGAUGGAUUGACUGAGGACCGACAAUACCAGAUACCAGCACCUGGAUGGAAAGUUUAAUUUCUGCAACGCCAUCUCUCGGUUUGAAACGAGUGGCCUUUUCUUUUUGAAGGUAAGAUGUGCUAUUUUUAUUAUUCCCCUUGUAAUUAUUUUACGCUCUUGGCCCAACACGUACAGUAUUUGUGGUCGAAAAUUUUCAAUUUUACUG